GCCCCCGUAGCUCAGGGGAUAGAGCACCGCUCUCCUAAAGCGGGUGCCGCAGGUUCGAAUCCUGCCGGGGGCG
rnacentral:tRNA from 1 species